UAUAAAAUGGGUUAAACAUGUUUUGGAUUGGAGAAAAAUGUAUUGCCUGUAUUAAUGGAACUCGUGCGUUUGCCAUUAUUAGCAUCAACGGCCGAUAUAUAGUAAAUAUUGUGUUUCAAGAACCAAUUCUGAAAAAUAAUUUUAAAUAAGUCAGUUCAGUAUUUCGCCGUUCCAAGUACAAUUUGGUGUAGAGAUGUUUGAUGUCACUGUUCAAAAAUGGGUAGCUACUAUGACUACAGAAGUGAUUUGUGAUAAGAGGUUUUUCAAAACAUUUGAAGUCUGUCCAACGUUAUGAUCCACACAUGAAUUACCAAGUUGAAGAACUGUCUGUAUGUCAUGAAGGUGUUAAUAUAGAUGUUUUGGGAGGUGUUAUGUAUGUUAUCAAUGUUAGUCAUGGAUCAACAUUUCUUAACAGUAUUGAGGCCUAUAGACUAAUGAUGGAGCAUAGUCUUUUAUUGCUAAUACA